UGGGGAAUAUUGCACAAUGGGCGCAAGCCUGAUGCAGCGACGCCGCGUGAGGGAUGACGGCCUUCGGGUUGUAAACCUCUUUCAGUAGGGAAGAAGCGAAAGUGACGGUACCUGCAGAAGAAGCACCGGCUAACUACGUGCCAGCAGCCGCGGUAAUACGUAGGGAGCGAGCGUUAUCCGGAAUUAUUGGGCGUAAAGAGCUCGUAGGCGGUUUGUCGCGUCUGUCGUGAAAGUCCGGGGCUUAACCCCGGAUCUGCGGUGGGUACGGGCAGACUAGAGUGCAGUAGGGGAGACUGGAAUUCCUGGUGUAGCGGUGGAAUGCGCAGAUAUCAGGAGGAACACCGAUGGCGAAGGCAGGUCUCUGGGCUGUAACUGACGCUGAGGAGCGAAAGCAUGGGGAGCGAACA
rnacentral:rRNA from 1 species